rnacentral:rRNA from 1 species
GCUGGCGGCGUGCCUAAUACAUGCAAGUCGAGCGGACAGAUGGGAGCUUGCUCCCUGAUGUUAGCGGCGGACGGGUGAGUAACACGUGGGUAACCUGCCUGUAAGACUGGGAUAACUCCGGGAAACCGGGGCUAAUACCGGAUGGUUGUUUGAACCGCAUGGUUCAGACAUAAAAGGUGGCUUCGGCUACCACUUACAGAUGGACCCGCGGCGCAUUAGCUAGUUGGUGAGGUAACGGCUCACCAAGGCAACGAUGCGUAGCCGACCUGAGAGGGUGAUCGGCCACACUGGGACUGAGACACGGCCCAGACUCCUACGGGAGGCAGCAGUAGGGAAUCUUCCGCAAUGGACGAAAGUCUGACGGAGCAACGCCGCGUGAGUGAUGAAGGUUUUCGGAUCGUAAAGCUCUGUUGUUAGGGAAGAACAAGUGCCGUUCAAAUAGGGCGGCACCUUGACGGUACCUAACCAGAAAGCCACGGCUAACUACGUGCCAGCAGCCGCGGUAAUACGUAGGUGGCAAGCGUUGUCCGGAAUUAUUGGGCGUAAAGGGCUCGCAGGCGGUUUCUUAAGUCUGAUGUGAAAGCCCCCGGCUCAACCGGGGAGGGUCAUUGGAAACUGGGGAACUUGAGUGCAGAAGAGGAGAGUGGAAUUCCACGUGUAGCGGUGAAAUGCGUAGAGAUGUGGAGGAACACCAGUGGCGAACGCGACUCUCUGGUCUGUAUCUGACGCUGAGGAGCGAAAGCGUGGGGAGCGAUACAGGAUUAGAUACCGCUGGUAGUCCACGCCGUAAACGAUGAGUGCUAAGUGUUACGGCGGUUUCCGGCCCCCUCAGUCGCUGCAGCUAACGCAUUAAGCACUCCGCCUGGGGAGUACGGUCGCAAGACUGAAACUCAAAGGAAUUGACGGGGGCCCGCACAAGCCGGUGGAGCAU